UCUUGCUUUGCUCAAAUAUAAUAUCAAAGGUUGUAAUGAUAAUCGGGUUGUAAUGAUAAUAGGAGUUUAAACAUCUUAGUUUGUGGCAAUAAUAAGUGUGAUAUUUGUGUUUAGAUUUUACGAGUUGUUUGAUCUACUUGAUAGUUUUAUCCUCUAUCCUUGGUAUUGUUGGUCUUGCUAGCCUGUUUGUGGGUUUGUUUGCUUCUGAUGGUUCCUACUAUAUUAUGAGAAUGGUUUACUCAGGUUUAGGUGUACUUGUUGUAUCAUUUUCUUUAAUCUACGAUACUCAGCUUAUUCUGAUAGG